rnacentral:lncRNA from 1 species
GGCAGUCGCUUAGUAGCAAAGUCAAUUCAGACUCCUAUUGCAAUACUAAAAGGAUCUAAAGAUAAUGUAAGGAUAACCUGCAACCAUACUAUUCAAGACUACACUAUGAUACUGUGGUACCAACAGUCAACAGGAGACACUGCUAUGAAACUCAUUGGUUUUGCAUUUUACAAGUCAAUAACCAUGGAGAAAUCAUUUGAAAUGCACUUCAAUGUGAGUGGAGAUGGUUCAAAAGAGGCUUAUCUUCAUCUACUGAGUCUGAGAUCACCUGAAGACAGUGCAGUGUAUUACUGUGCAGCCAGCCAACACAGUGAUGUAGAGAACCUCCUCUCCUCUACAAAAACCCUGUCUGGUAGAAAACUGUGAGCAGUGAUCACAACACCUGCAUCUGAGGUUGGAGUUUGGUUCAGAGCCAAUGAAUAAAGAGAUGGAUUACAGCAUCAGCAAGUUGAUCAUAUCUGGCCUAGUACAGAAUAACAGUAUUUACAAAUUAGUGUCAUUACUAAUUGACAUAAAUUAUGUGGUUAUAAUGUCAUAUCCUGUUUCUCUAGCCUUUUGGGGACCUAAGUGAGAUUUGGCUAGGACACUCCAUCCUAGCGACAAAACAUUUUAGUGGUAAACCCCUAUGGGCUGUUGUAAAAAAUAGCGCACUACAUAGUGAAUAAGGUGCCAUAGGGCUCUAGUCAAUAGCAGUGUACUAUAUAGGGAAUAGGGUGCCAUUUGGGAUGUAGUCAAUACAUUUGACACUCCCACUAGCUGCCAUCACAUCUCUGAUGAUCUGAAAACUCUUUCUCCUUGUCCAUGUGACUCUUCUCUCCAGAACCAUCAACAUGAUCAAGCUUCCCAUACAUGCUGCAGCUCUUCCACUGUGGGUGACAGGGCUGUCACAAACAGACCAAGUCCAGCAGACUCCUACUGCAAUACUAAAAGGACCUGACGAUAACGUUCAACUGAACUGCAGCCAUACUGUUCCAAGCUACAACAUGAUACUGUGGUACCAGCAGUCAGAACAAGACACUGCUCUGAAACUCAUUGGGUAUGUGUUCCUCACCAAUCCUGCUGUGGAAGAUUCCUUUAAAGGGCGUUUUACUGUGAGUGGAGAUGCUGCAACUGGGAAAAUGGCAUAUCUACAUCUUCCUAAACUGAGAGGAACUGAAGCCACUGCAGUGUAUUUCUGUGCUGCUACUUACGCACAGUGUUUCACUAUACCCUCUCUCCUCUACAUAAACCCUCUCUGAUCCUCUCAUAUAAUACUGACUACAGCUCUAUAGACCUGCACCUGUCUUCAACCACUUCAACAACACUUUGCUCUGAUCCAUUAGAUAUCAGACAGAUGGUAAUGAUGCUGUUAUAAGUGUCUGGUUUAGAUGGUUUAGCUGCAGCACUUCCUCACUUCUCCACCAAGGAGGCAGAGGUUCUCCACACUGAGCUGUAAAAGGGGCUGCAUAGGGACCCUGGUCCAACGCAGGGUGCUAAAUAGGGAAUAGGAUGAAACAAGAUAAUUGUUAUGGGGUAUUGUGAUGUCAUUAUGUGUGUCACGAAUAUUACCGAAGGUGACUCCCCUUCUUGUUCGGGUGGCGCUCGGCGGUCGUCGUCGCCGGUCUACUAGCUAUCGCCGAUCCGUUGUUCUGUGUUCCUUUGGUUUUGUCUGAUUGGUAUCUCCUGUUUCUUGUUUGGUUGUUAGGGGAGGGUUAUAUAUAGUUUGUUCAGCCCGCUUCUGUUUCGUGCGGGCUUGUUCAUCUGUUUUGCACUUUGAGAUAUCAGCUGAUGUACGAAGGGCUAUAUAAAUAAAUUUGAUUUGAUUUGAUUUGUUAGAGUGUAUUUUAUUUGCAUUUUCGGGUUUCGCGCUGUCCGUUAUUAUUUCUGAUCAUUUGUUUUCCUACUUUUGUUCAUGUUAUUUUUCCUGGACAUUAAAGCGUGUUUUUCCCCACAUCCUUUUGCUCUCUGCGCCUGACUCCACACCUCUUCACUCAUAUACCGUAACAAUGGGGUAUUGUGAUGUCAUUAUGGGGUAUUGUGAUGUCAUUAUGGGGUAUUGUGAUGUCAUUAUGGGCUAUUGUGCGUAGAUGGGUGAAAUAAAAUAGAUUUAAUUUAUUUUGAAUUGAUGCUGUAACAGAAUGUAGAAAUAGUCAAGUGGUAUACUUUCUGAGGGCGCUGUAUGCUUCGAUAUAAAAAUGAUGUCAUGGCUUUAGACGCUUCUGAUAGGCUAAUCAAGUGGUAUACUUUCUGAAGGCACUGUAUGCUUCGAUAUAAAAAUACAAGAAUGGCCAAAAGUGUGUUAACACCAUCUGCUCUAAUUCACUCACGAGACAGUAAUUCAAUAAGAUCUAAAUGCAUAUUCCCAUUAAACUGAUUGAGAUCAAAUGAUUUGCAUGAAGAUUUGGACUUUUGGACGAGUCACCGGUAAAACGUGAAGAAUUAGCCGAUGCCUCACUUGUUGUAUGAGGGGAUUGAAAAUAAAACAUUUUCUUGAGACAAUAUCUGUUGGCAUGAGCAGAUAUUGCAAUUGGAGGAUUAAUUUCAUGCAUAUUCUACAAUAAUAAGCUAUUCAAUUGGCUGCAUCUGUCGGUACAAACUUUGAGGAAAUUAUGACUUCAUUAAAAA